rnacentral:rRNA from 1 species
AUGUUGCCUAAAAACGAGGGCGCAGAGGGCGUGGACGAUUAUAGACCUAUUAGCCUCAUUCAUGCAUUUGCAAAGAUUAUAGCCAAAAUUCUAGCCAUGCGGCUAGGUCCUCACAUGAGCACCCUCAUUUUCAAAGCCCAAAGUGAUUUCAUCAAGAGGAGGAGGAUCUAUGAUAAAUUCAUGUAUGUGCGCAAUCUCGAGCAUAGGCUUCACAAGAGAAAAAACCUUCCUAUUGUUCAAGAUUGA